UUUCCCACAGCAACAGUUUCGGUGUCACAGUAACAGGCGAGCGGUCCCGGAGCCGAUCAGCCGCUCAUGCAGCGCGGGGCGAAGAUGCCGGAGACGGAGAUAGCCUCAAGAAUCUACUUCCCCUCCGCCUUCCAUCAGGAGGCUCCCGGAAUCCCCUGCUGGAAGCGCAAGGCCCCCCACAAAAGCGAAACCCACUAACGAGGGAACGGAAUGCAGCGGAGAGUUUGCAAAUGAAUGGUUGGGAGGUGUGGCUCAGUAACACUAGAGCGGCCGAACCCAUCCCAUUGCAUUUCACAAAGAGCAUCUGCACUACAAGCGGGGAGCUCCAAUCCAGGCGGCUCGGCGGUCCGGGCUCGAGGGAAAAGAGUUCGAAAAAAGGCAGCGGCUUGGAUUGUGAGAAAGCCGAAACCCCAGUCCUACAGUAAAUACUCGCUGCUCCAGUCAGCGCUGAACCGAACCUAUAGCUUGCGAAAGGAAUACAGGAAGGAAAUGGAGAAUCCUUAAACCACUAGAGUUUUGGGUGAAAGUCGUGCUGAGGACCCAUAUGUAAAUCAUAACUGAUUUUUCAGUCGUGAACCCACCUAUAAUAUUUAACUACUUUUUUAAAACGUCUCCAACAGUUUUUACCUGACUUAAAAAUACAGAUUAAAACAUUGCAAAAAUCUACAGGACGGUCAUUUAACAACAAUCCUGGCUAUACGCUGCACUUUCUCGGCGGCAGCCCCUUAAAUUCAAAGCCGACUUGCUUCAGUCAGUGUUCCGAGAAUUCGGUAGUGAGUCCCGUACAGGAUCGGCGGAGAGCUCGAGAGAGCAGGAGGGUGUCCCAUUGUGUAACCGGAAACUCCUCUCGCGGUUUGCACCUGCCUCGGGUGCUCUCUGAAGGGAACAUCGAGGUGCUUGGGACUUUCCUGGAUGUCUCUCUGUUUGCCUACACAGCCUCUGAGCUGGAUUCCCAGCAGUUGGUAAGAAGACUACAUUUUGUUUCGAGGAGUUGUACAGGAGAACCCUGAAGCCUUUUCCUGUCCUCCUGGAAAUUAUGUGCCCUGCAUGGAGAGGAGUGCUUUCCGGACCUGUUGUGGACCCAACACGUAGGUGCAAUUGUGAGAAAAGCUCAGCAGUGCCUUUACUUCCUUAGGAGUUUGCAAAGAUCCUCAGGACAUCUAUAUCUUGUAUCACAGCCUAGUAUGGAAACACCAAUGCCCUUGAACAAAAAAUCCUACAAAAAGUAGUGGAUAUGGACCAUUCCAUCAUGGGUAAAACCCUUCCAACCAUGGGACACAUCAACAUGUUGCAGAGAAAGCAUUAUUCAUCACUGGGGACCCUCCCGCCCCAGCACCCAGGCCAUGCUCUCUUCUCGCUGCUGCCAUCAGGAGGAAGAUACAGGAACCUUAGGACUCACACCACCAGGUUCAGAAACAGUUACUAACCCCCAACCAUCAGGCUUUUGAACCAAAGGGGAUAAUUUCACUUGUUUAAUUGCCCCAUCAUUGAAUUGCUCCCACAACAAAUGGGCUCACUUUCAAGGCCUCUUCAUCUUGUGUUCUCGAUGUUUAUUCCUUAUUUAUGUAUUAUUACUGCUUCUCUUUGUAUUUGCACAGUUUGUGGUCUUCUGCACAAUGGUUGAUCACCUGAGUUUGGUGGUCAUUCACUGAUUCUGUUACAGCUAAUAUUCUAAAGAUUUAUUGAGUAUGCCCACAAGAAAAUGAAUCUCAGGUUUGUGCACAGUGACAUAUAUAUGUACUUUGAUAAUGAAUUAACUUUAAUUCUGAACUGGGAAAGAAAUAUAACCAGGAAAUUAAUGGGGCUAAAGGCCAACAAAUUUCAAGAGCCUGAAAACUUGUAACCUAGUGUACUAAAUGAAGUGGCUCUGAGAAGAGUGGAUGUAUUCCAAAAUUCCUUAGAUACUGUAGCAGUUUGUAGGCAUUGGAGGAUGGCAAAUGCAAUCCCACCAUUUAUAAGAAGGGAAAGGCAAACUCACAGAAUUGCUGAUCAGUAAACCUAACAUGAGCAAUGGGAAAUGCUGAAGUUUGUCAUUAACGAUGCAAUGAAGGAUCACUGGGAAACUAUUCUGGACAGUGUGUGCUUACGAAAAGGAGCUAUGCAGAAUAUAGAACUUUUGGAAGAUGUAACAGGUAAAAUAGAUAAAGUCAGUGUGAUGAAUUUGGAUGUUCAGAAGACAAGUGAUGCAGCAAGUUAGGAUGCUCUCUACUGUACAUCUGUAGAAGGACGUGAUUAUAGAUAUGCAUAGUCUAGCUCUCCUCAGCUUCCUCAGAAAGUAGAGGCACAGUGAGCUUUCCUGAUUGUGUUGAUUGUGUUCUGAGAAGUUGUGUGUGAUGUGCAUUUCCAGGAGUUUGAAACUGCUGCCUAAGAGGGGUAAUAACUACAGAACAAAUUGUAAGACAGUUAUAUAUGAGGUUAAUCUGGAGAGGUAAUCCACUACAAUUACCAGUAUUUAGAGACGAUGCAGCUUGCAGUGAACAAAGAUAUCAAGUGUAUUAAUUUACAGUUGAUUGAAUUUAGAUUUGCCUGUAGAUGAUGGUUAACUGUUUGGAUAACUAUAUAUGCAGACAGGUAAUGGCUCAUUUUUGUUUGGAAGGGUAUGUAGUAGAGUGUACAGAAGUACAGAACCUGAGUGUGCCACGUGAUAUAAUCUUGACACUCUAUUGGAUCAGUCAGUGCUGUUUCUGAGGUAUUAUCACCUUUAGUAAAGAAUAUUCUGUUCACAGCUCUAUCUGUGUUCUUUGCUUAUACAUCAGCAACAUAAAAGAGCCAAAAGGUACCAAUAUUGAUCAUAAAUACAUAUCAUUUCUUUAAUUUUUAAAUUUCCCAUUAAUCAACAGAAUUUGCUUCUCUCUGUCUCCCCACCUUCAUGAGCCCUCAUCACUAAGAUGCCACAGUCAACAUUCUGGCUGACCUCCUGACUGUCCAUUAUUCCUGUCCUCACUGAGAGCAAAUACACUGCAGCCGUUGCAGAAGAUCUGCUCAUGCUGGUCUUUAUUCUUCUUUGUUUCUCCUGACGCUACAAAUCAUGGUUACACUAAGCACAUCUAGAUUCUUCAUCACCUUAUGAAGUAUGACUGAAGGUCGAUUCGGUUACAGACUGCCUAGAUACUUCAAAAAAUUUGAGGGAAGGAGUUGUGUCUCUACCUUGUGCCCAGGCCAGCAUCUGAGUAUAACACCCUGGUUCACGUUUCCACUGCUAUGCUGUAGGUAUUUCAUUUAGCAGUUCUGUAAGAGCAGUCUGUUCUGCUGUCAGCCUGUUUGGUUAUUGUUGAAGAUAAGGGAUGCUGAGGAAUGUGUGUCAUCCAUUUAGGAUGGUGGAACUGGGAGAAGGUUCGAGAGAACACUGUGGGGAGCACUAUGGUUGGUCUUAGGUUUUUUCCUGUUUGGCAGGUUGAAGAGAGAAGACAUUGGAUAGAACCAGUUGCAGGAUUCAACCCUACUAGAUGGUCUCCCUUAUCCUUAUCAUUGGUUGGUCGGAUUAAUGCUAUUAAAAUGAUGGUUUUACCGAAAUUUUUAUAUUUAUUUCAAGCUUUACCAAUUUUUAUUCCUAAAUCUUUUUUUGAUAACAUAGAUUCAAAAAUUUCCUCAUUUGUGUGGCAAAAUAAAAACCCCAGGUUAAGUAAAAAACAGUUACAGAAACCUAAAAAAGAUGGUGGUUUAGCUUUACCUAACUUUAGAUUUUACUAUUGGGCAAAUAAUAUUCGAAACUUAAUAUACUGGAAACAAGAUUUGGAUUCACCAUUAUGCCCACAGUGGGUAAAUUUGGAAUGUAAUGAUGUACAAGGAUAUUCUUUAUUCUCCGUUCUUGGUUCUUCUCUUCCCGUUGAUUUAGUCAAAUUCAAUAAACAGAUAUCUAACCCUAUUGUCAAACACACAUUACGAAUUUGGUUUCAAUUUCGUAAGUUUUUUACCUUGAGAAAUUUUGUUCUUGAUAGCCCUAUCUUAUUUAACUUUUUUUUUUAAACCCUCUUUAAUAGAUCAAGCCUUUAGUGUAUGGAAAAGGAAAGGUAUAAUAUGUUUUCGUGAUCUCUUUUUUGAAGGUAAUUUGAUGUCUUUUGACCAACUUUCUAACAAAUUUAAGUUACCUAAAUCUCAUUUUUUUAGAUAUUUAUAAAUCAGAAACUUUUUAUAUAAAGUUUUACCAUUCUUUCCCAAUUCAACUCCGAUAGAUUUUUUAGAUAUGAUUUUUACCUUGAAUCCUUGUCAGAAAGGAUUAGUGGCUCUUAUUUGUAAUAUGAUUAUGAAGAUUCAACCAGAAAUAUCAGGCAGAAUUAAACAAGACUGGGAAAAAAAGCUUCAAUAUACUAUAUCAACAGAAAAAUGGGAAAAAAUUCUACAAAUGGUUAAUUCUUCUUCUAUAUGUGCUAAACAUGCUUUAAUACAGUUUAAGGUGGUACAUAGAGCUCACAUGUGUAAAGAUAAGCUUGCUCGAUUCUACUCCCAUAUUAAUCCUCAAUGUGACAGAUGUCACUCAGAAGUUGCUUCAUUGACCCACAUGUUUUGGUCAUGUCCCACCUUAUAUAACUAUUGGAAGGACAUAUUUGCUAUCAUUUCCUCAGUUUGGAAUAUUGAUUUACAACCCCAUUUUAUUACUGCAAUUUUUGGUAUACCAAAUGAAGAUGGUAAUCGACUUUCCCCUUCAAUUAGACGAAUGAUUGCUUUUGUAACCCUAAUGGCUAGAAGGUCUAUAUUACAAAAUUGGAAAGAAGUAAACCCUCCUACCACGUUUCAGUGGUUCUCUCAAACUAUUUCUUGUUUGAGCUUAGAAAAAAUUAGAAGUACUACUUUUGAUCCAUCAAUUAAAUUUGAAGAAACUUGGGGACCGUUUAUUUGACAUUUUCAUGAGUUAAUUUGACCUCUUCCGGACCUUUUCUCUUUUUAUCCUUGUUCUGGUAUGGAGUUCCGGAGUUUUUGACACUAUCAUGUAUAUAUAAACUAUUAUUAUUGCCCAUGUGAGUCUAGGUUUAUUUUUUUUUUCUAAUAUAUAUUUUUUCUUGCAUUUUUUAGUAUUUUUUUUCUUUUCUCUCUUUUAGAGAUUAUCCAUUUUCAUGUAUAACCAAUAUAGGUUUGACUGAUUAUUAUAUGAUGUUUUUUUAAUUGACAUUUUAAUAAGAUAUUGAUAUCUUAUUACUAAUUCAAUGUCAAGCCUAAUGUAUUUACAAUCUAUUCAGUAUUAUGUUAUGUUAUUUAUUUUAUAUAUGAAAAUCAAUAAAAAAGAUUGAAAAAGAAAGAAAGAAAGGAUUCGACCCGGUGAGGGGCCAUGAUUCGAUGGAGCCAGGUGCUGGAGUCUACUGAGGAUCGGUGAAUAUGUCUUUUGGAAGAGUUCAGCUCCAAGCUUGUGCACAUUUGAUUGUCUAUUUAUAAUGGGCCCUUUGUGCUAUUUUCUUAACUAACCCUAUAAUUGAGAUUCACAAAUAUAAUUCCUUUAAUCGUAUGCAGUGUGCUGUCUGUUAUUUCUUGGCACUGACUUGUAACAGGGUAACAAAUUACACAGUAUCCAUACAAACUGGGGUUUGGUAGGAGAGCCAUCUCACGGGUUUGGUGGGACUGGAGUGUGUAUUCCCUAGACGUAUGUAGCCAAUGAAACCACUGGGGUUUCAUGAGUAAAAGAAAAUCCAGGUAGAGACAUUUUCUGAGGAUGUAAAUUACCUGAGUAAACACAUUGUCAAGUUUGUCGAUGACAUGACAGUGGUGGGUGGGGCUCAUCACCUACAAUGAUGAGACAGCGUACAGAGAGGAGGUGUAAGAGUUUGAGGCCUGGUGCUAGGCAAAUAAUCUCUUCCAUGAUGUCAACAAGACAAAGGAGGUGGCUUUUGAUUUCAGGAGAACUUGUACCACUCAUACCCCUCUUUACAUCUGCAGCACAGUAGUGGAAAUUGCAACUAGUUUUAUAUCCUGGAACUAUACACCUCUCCCAACUUCUUGUAGUCCCAGAACACAUUCCACACAAUCCGGGAAGUUCACCAAAGCCUCUACUUUCUGAGGAGGCUGAAGAGAGCUGGACUAUGUACAUCUGUACUCACAUCUUUCUACAGAUGAGCUGUAGAGAGCAUCCUGACACGCUGCAUCAAUUCAUAGUACGGAAACUGCACCUGGUCAUAUCUACCUAAUGCAUCAAUGGCACCAGCCUGUUCACCAUUAAGGACAUAUAUAUAUAUAGGAAAGUGCUGGAAAAAGGACAGUAACAUCACGAAGGAUCCACCCUACCCUGCUCAUAGACUGUUUGUCCCACUCCCAUCAGAGACAGGAGUAUCCAUGUCAGGACCACCAGACACAAAAACAGUUACUUCCCCAAUCAGUAAGGCUGAUCAGCACCUCCACCCACUAAUCCACCCCUCCACACCACCACCACACAAUAAUAAUUUCCUGUCUUAUAAAAGCAAUCUAAUGUAUUUAUUUUUAUUGUUUGUUUUAUUAUUAUUGUGUUCUUUAUCUUUGGGUUUUUUUGUGUUGCAUCGGAUCUGGAGUAACAAUUAUUUUAUUCUCCUUUCACUUGUGUACUGUACUAGAAAUGACAUUAAACAAUCUUGAAUACA